rnacentral:rRNA from 1 species
AGUGAACGCUGGCGGUAGGCCUAACACAUGCAAGUCGAACGGCAGCACAGUAAGAGCUUGCUCUUACGGGUGGCGAGUGGCGGACGGGUGAGGAAUACAUCGGAAUCUACUUUUUCGUGGGGGAUAACGUAGGGAAACUUACGCUAAUACCGCAUACGACCUACGGGUGAAAGCAGGGGAUCUUCGGACCUUGCGCGAUUGAAUGAGCCGAUGUCGGAUUAGCUAGUUGGCGGGGUAAAGGCCCACCAAGGCGACGAUCCGUAGCUGGUCUGAGAGGAUGAUCAGCAACACUGGACCUGGGAAACGGUCCAGACUCCUAGGGGAGGCGGAGGUGGGGAAUAUUGGACAAUGGGCGAAAGCCUGAUCCAGCCAUACCGCGUGGGUGAAGAAGGCCUUCGGGUGGUAAAGCCCUUUUGUUGGGAAAGAAAAGCAGCAGGUUAAUACCCCGCUGUUCUGACGGUACCCAAAGAAUAAGCACCGGCUAACUUCGU